AAUCAUUUGUAGAGAAUGGGUUGAGCUAUAAAUGGCUCCAGCUUGGGUUCUUCUAUUCACCUUUCAUAUUUUGCAUCUAGCAAAGUAGAAAUGCCCCUGUUUUCUUCCAAUGACUGCAAAGGCCUCAACGAUGGUGCUACCAGAUGCACAGGAUCUGUAGUUUGAUUCUUCUUUUGCUUUUUCUUGAACCAGGCUGAUCAAUGAGGAACCAUAGUUGAGAUACUGGUUGAGGAUGGAAAACCAGUUAGUGUGGAUACGCCUCUAUUCGUCGUUCAGCCUUCAAUUAGGCGAAGCCUUGGUGAGUUUGGAGUUGGUGCCUAGUCAAUAUUAAAGUUUGUAAUUUCUGCCUGAAAUUUGUCUUCAUUUUUCCUUGUUGGUUGGAUA